UGGCGGCAGGCCUAACACAUGCAAGUCGAGCGGAAACGAGUUAUCUGAACCUUCGGGGAACGAUAACGGCGUCGAGCGGCGGACGGGUGAGUAAUGCCUAGGAAAUUGCCCUGAUGUGGGGGAUAACCAUUGGAAACGAUGGCUAAUACCGCAUGAUGCCUACGGGCCAAAGAGGGGGACCUUCGGGCCUCUCGCGUCAGGAUAUGCCUAGGUGGGAUUAGCUAGUUGGUGAGGUAAGGGCUCACCAAGGCGACGAUCCCUAGCUGGUCUGAGAGGAUGAUCAGCCACACUGGAACUGAGACACGGUCCAGACUCCUACGGGAGGCAGCAGUGGGGAAUAUUGCACAAUGGGCGCAAGCCUGAUGCAGCCAUGCCGCGUGUGUGAAGAAGGCCUUCGGGUUGUAAAGCACUUUCAGUCGUGAGGAAGGUAGUGUAGUUAAUAGCUGCAUUAUUUGACGUUAGCGACAGAAGAAGCACCGGCUAACUC
rnacentral:rRNA from 1 species